GUGUCCAAACCAUAGUACACAUUUUGGUCGCCGGAGGCCAGUAAGGCUAUUUUUGGCCUCCCGUGACACAUGUUUUCAUCGUCAAACAACGAUUUCAUGCCUCCCGUCCGCCACCCAUGAUUUGGCCACGAAGACUGCAAAGGCUGUUUAUGGCCUCCCGUAAGCUAUAGCACACGUUUUCAUGGUCGAGCGACCUUUUUUAUGUACGAGUUCCACCACCCGCGUUUUGGUCCCCAGAGCACCUUAAAGUUGUUCUUGGCUUCCCACGAGCUGUAGCACACGUUUCCGUGGCCAAAGUGCCAAUUUCAUGUAUCCGACCUGCCACCUACGUUUUACACCGGAGAGGCCGUUACGACAUUUUUUGCCACAAGUGAGCUAUAGCACACGUUUUUAUGGUAAACUAGACCCCGAAUCCAAUCCCUAAACCCUAACCUUAAACACCGACACUAAAAGGUUUUAGUGUCCAAACCAUAGUAAAAUGAAGUUUGAGUCUCCAAACCAUAGUAAGCUUGCAGGCAUCUUAGAAUUUUAGUGUCCAAACCAAAGUACAGGUUUUAGACCCCUUAGGCCCGUAUGGCUAUUUUGGCCUCCCGUGACACAUGUUUUUGUCGUCGAACAGCGAUUUCGUGCCUCCCGUCCGCCACCCAUGAUUUGACCAUUGAGACUGGUAAGGCUGUUUUGGCCUCCCGUGAGCUAUAGCACACGUUUUCAUGGCCCAGCGACCAUUUUUAUGUCUGCGUUCCGCCACACGUGUUUUUGUCCCUAGAGCACCUUAAAGCGAUUCUUGGCCUCCCGCGAGCUAUAUCACACAUUUUCGUGGCCAAACAGCCAAUUUUAUGUAUCCGACCUGCCACCUUCGUUUUAGACCGGGGAGGCCGUUAUGGCAUUUUUUUGCCACCCGUGAGCUAUAGCACACGAUUUUAUGGAAACCUAGACCCUAAAUCCUAUCCCUAAACCCUAAACCUAAACAUCGACACUAAAGGAUUUUAGUGUCGAAACCAUGGUAAAAUGAAAUUUGAGUCUCCCAACCAUAUCAACUUUGCUGACAUAGUAGAAUUUUAGUGUCCAAACCAUAGUAUACAUUUUGGUCCCCGGAGGCCGGUAAGGCUAUUUUUGGCCUCCCGUGACACUUGUUUUCAUCGUCAAACAACGAUUUCAUGCCUCCCGUCCACCACCCAUGAUUUGGCCACUGAGACAGCUAAGGCUGUUUAUGGCCUCACGAAAGCUAUAACACACGUUUUCAUGGUCGAGCGACCAUUUUUAAGUAAGUGUUCCACCACCCGCGUUUUGGUCCCCAGAGCACCUUAAAGUUGUUCUUGGCCUCCCACGAGCUGUAGGGUUUAGGGUUUAGGCUUUAGGGCCUCCCGUGACACAUGUUUUUGUCGUCGAACAACGAUUUCGUGCCUCCCGUCCGCCACCCAUGAUUUGACCAAUGAGAUUGGUAAGGCUGUUUUGGCCUCCCGUGAGCUAUAGCACACGUUUUCAUGGCCCAGUGACCAUUUUUAUGUCCGAGUUCCGCCACACGUGUUUUUGUCCCCGGAGCACCUUAAAGCGGUUCUUGGCCUCCCGCGAGCUAUAUCACACAUUUCCGUGGCCAAACAACCAAUUUUAUGUAUCCGACCUGCCACCUUCGUUUUAGAUCGGGGAGGCCGUUAUGGCAUUUUUUGCCACCCGUGAGCUAUAGCACACGAUAUUAUGGAAACCUAGACCCUAAAUCCUAUCCCUAAACCCUAAACCUAAACAUCGACACUAAAGGAAUUUAGUGUCGAAACCAUGGUAAAAUGAAAUUUGAGUCUCCCAACCAUAUCAACUUUGCUAACAUAGUAGAAUUUUAGUGUCCAAACCAUAGUACACAUUUUGGUCCCCGGAGGCCGGUAAGGCUAUUUUUGGCCUCCCGUGUCACAUGUUUUCAUCGUCAAACAACGAUUUCAUGCCUCCCGUCCACCACCCAUGAUUUGGCCAUUGAGACUGCUAAGGCUGUUUAUGGCCUCACGUAAGCUAUAGCACACGUUUUCAUGGUCGAGCGACCAUUUUAAGUAAGUGUUCCACCACCCGCGUUUUGGUCCCCAGAGCACCUUAAAGUUGUUCUUAGCCUCCCACGAGUUGUAGGGUUUAGGGUUUAGGUUUUAGGGCCUCCCGUGACACAUGUUUUUGUCGUCGAACAACGAUUUCGUGCCUCCCGUCCGCCACCCAUGAUUUGACCAUUGAGACUGGUAAGGCUGUUUUGGCCUCCCGUGAGCUAUAGCACACGUUUUCAUGGCCCAGCGACCAUUUUUAUGUCCGCGUUCCGCCACACGUGUUUUUGUCCCCGGAGCACCUUAAAGCGGUUCUUGGCCUCCCGCGAGCUAUAUCACACAUUUCCGUGGCCAAACAACCAAUUUUAUGUAUCCGACCUGCCACCUUCGUUUUAGACCGGGGAGGCCGUUAUGGCAUUUUUUUGCCACCCGUGAGCUGUAGCACACGAUUUUAUGGAAACCUAGACCCUAAAUCCUAUCCCUAAACCCUAAACCUAAACAUCGACACUAAAGGAUUUUAGUGUCGAAACCAUUGUAAAAUGAAAUUUGAGUCUCCCAACCAUAUCAACUUUGCUGACAUAGUAGAAUUUUAGUGUCCAAACCAUAGUACACAUUUUGGUCCCCGGAGGCCGGUAAGGCUAUUUUUGGCCUCCCGUGACACAUGUUUUCAUCGUCAAACAACGAUUUCAUGCCUCCCGUCCGCCACCCAUGAUUUGGCCACUGAGAUUGCUAAGGCUGUUUAUGGCCUCACGUAAGCUAUAGCACACGUUUUCAUGGUCGAGCGACCAUUUUUAAGUAAGUGUUCCACCACCCGCGUUUUGGUCCCUAGAGCACCUUAAAGUUGUUCUUGGCCUCCCACGAGCUUUAGGGUUUAGGAUUUAGGUUUUAAGGCCUCCAGUGACACAUGUUUUUGUCGUCGAACAGCGAUUUCGUGCCUCCCGUCCGCCACCCAUGAUUUGACCGUUGAGACUGGUAAGGCUGUUUUGGCCUCCCGUGAGCUAUAGCACACGUUUUCAUGGCCCAGCGACCAUUUUUAUGUCCGCGUUCCGCCACACGUGUUUUUGUCCCCGGAGCACCUUAAAGCGGUUCUUGGCCUCCCGCGAGCUAUAUCACACAUUUCCGUGGCCAAACAGCCAAUUUUAUGUAUCCGACCUGCCACCUUUGUUUUAGACCGGGGAGGCCGUUAUGGCAUUUUUUUUGCCACCCGUGAGCUGUAGCACACGAUUUUAUGGAAACCUAGACCCUAAAUCCUAUCCCUAAACCCUAAACCUAAACAUCGACACUAAUGGAUUUUAGUGUCGAAACCAUGGUAAAAUGAAAUUUGAGUCUCCCAACCAUAUCAACUUUGCUGACAUAGUAGAAUUUUAGUGUCCAAACCAUAGUACACAUUUUGGUCCCCGGAGGCCGGUAAGGCUAUUUUUGGCCUCCCGUGACACAUGUUUUCAUCGUCAAACAACGAUUUCAUGCCUCCCGUCCACCACCCAUGAUUUGGCGACUGAGACUGCUAAGGCUGUUUAUGGCCUCACCUAAGCUAUAGCACACGUUUUCAUGGUCGAGCGACCAUUUUUAAGUAAGUGUUCCACCACCCGCGUUUUGGUCCCCAGAGCACCUUAAAGUUGUUCUUGGCCUCCCACGAGCUGUAGGGUUUAGGGUUUAGGUUUUAGGGCCUCCCAUGAUACAUGUUUUUGUCGUCGAACAGCAAUUUCGUGCCUCCCGUCCGCCACCCAUGAUUUGACCAUUGAGACUGGUAAGGCUGUUUUGGCCUCCCGUGAGCUAUAACACACGUUUUCAUGGCCCAGCGACCAUUUUUAUGUCCGCGUUCCGCCACACGUGUUUUUGUCCCCGGAGCACCUUAAAGCGGUUCUUGGCCUCCCGCGAGCUAUAUCACACAUUUCCGUGGCCAAACAGCCAAUUUUAUGUAUCCGACCUGCCACCUUCGUUUUAGACCGGGGAGGCCGUUAUGGCAUUUUUUUGCCACCCGUGAGCUGUAGCACACGAUUUUAUGGAAACAUAGACCCUAAAUCCUAUCCCUAAACCCUAAACCUAAACAUCGACACUAAAGGAUUUUAGUGUCGAAACCAUUGUAAAAUGAAAUUUGAGUCUCCCAACCAUAUCAACUUUGCUGACAUAGUAGAAUUUUAGUGUCCAAACCAUAGUACACAUUUUGGUCCUCGGAGGCCGGUAAGGCUAUUUUUGGCCUCCCGUGACACAUGUUUUCAUCGUCAAACAAAGAUUUCAUGCCUCCCGUCCGCCACCCAUGAUUUGGCCACUGAGAUUGCUAAGGCUGUUUAUGGCCUCACGUAAGCUAUAGCACACGUUUUCAUGGUCGAGCGACCAUUUUUAAGUAAGUGUUCCACCACCCGCGUUUUGGUCCCUAGAGCACCUUAAAGUUGUUCUUGGCCUCCCACGAGCUUUAGGGUUUAGGAUUUAGGUUUUAGGCCUCCUGUGACACAUGUUUUUGUCGUCGAACAGCGAUUUCGUGCCUCCCGUCCGCCACCCAUGAUUUGACCGUUGAGACUGGUAAGGCUGUUUUGGCCUCCCGUGAGCUAUAGCACACGUUUUCAUGGCCCAGCGACCAUUUUUAUGUCCGCGUUCCGCCACACGUGUUUUUGUCCCCGGAGCACCUUAAAGCGGUUCUUGGCCUCCCGCGAGCUAUAUCACACAUUUCCGUGGCCAAAUAGCCAAUUUUAUGUAUCCGACCUGCCACCUUGUUUUAGACCGGGGAGGCCGUUAUGGCAUUUUUUUGCCACCCGUGAGCUGUAGCACACGAUUUUAUGGAAACCUAGACCCUAAAUCCUAUCCCUAAACCCUAAACCUAAACAUCGACACUAAUGGAUUUUAGUGUCGAAACCAUGGUAAAAUGAAAUUUGAGUCUCCCAACCAUAUCAACUUUGCUGACAUAGUAGAAUUUUAGUGUCCAAACCAUAGUACACAUUUUGGUCCCGGAGGCCGGUUAGGCUAUUUUUGGCCUCCCGUGACACAUGUUUUCAUCGUCAAACAACGAUUUCAUGCCUCCCGUCCGCCACCCAUGAUUUGGCCACGAGACUGCAAAGGCUGUUUAUGGCCUCCCGUAAGCUAUAGCACACGUUUUCAUGGUCGAGCGACCAUUUUUAUGUACGUGUUCCACCACCCGUGUUUUGGUCCGCAGAGCACCUUAAAGUUGUUCUUGGCCUCCCACGAGCUGUAGCACACUUUCCGUGGCCAAAGUGCCAAUUUCAUGUAUCCGACCUGCCACCUAUGUUUUAACCGGAGAGGCCGUUACGACAUUUUUGCCACAAGUGAGCUAUAGCACACGUUUUAUGGUAACUAGACCCGAAUCCAAUCCUAAACCUAACUUAAACACCGAACUAAAGGUUUUAUGUCCAAACCAUAGUAAAAUGAAGUUUGAGUCUCCAAACCAUAGUAAGCUUGCAGGCAUGUUAGAAUUUAGUGUCCAAACCAAGUACAGUUUUAGCCCUAGGCCGUAAGGCUAUUUUGGCCUCCCGUGACACAUGUUUUUGUCGUCGAACAGCGAUUUCGUGCCUCCCGUCCGCCACCCAUGAUUUGACCAUUGAGACUGGUAAGGCUGUUUUGGCCUCCCGUGAGCUAUAGCACACGUUUUCAUGGCCCAGCGACCAUUUUUAUGUCCGCGUUCCGCCACACGUGUUUUUGUCCCAGAGCACCUUAAAGCGGUUCUUGGCCUCCCGCGAGCUAUAUCACACAUUUCCGUGGCCAAACAGCCAAUUUUAUGUAUCCGACCUGCCACUUCGUUUUAGACCGGGGAGGCCGUUAUGGCAUUUUUUUGCCACCCGUGAGCUAUAGCACACGAUUUUAUGGAAACCUAGACCCUAAAUCCUAUCCCUAAACCCUAAACCUAAACAUCGACACUAAAGGAUUUUAGUGUCGAAACCAUGGUAAAAUGAAAUUUGAGUCUCCCAACCAUAUCAACUUUGCUGACAUAGUAGAAUUUUAGUGUCCAAACCAUAGUACACAUUUUGGUCCCGGAGGCCGGUAAGGCUAUUUUUGGCCUCCCGUACACAUGUUUUCAUCGUCAAACAACGAUUUCAUGCCUCCGUCCACCAGCAUGAUUUAGCCACUGAUGACUGCUAAGGCUGUUUAUGGCCUCACGUAAGCUCUAGCACACGUUUUCAUGGUCGAGCGACCAUUUUUAAGUAAGUGUUCCACCACCCGCGUUUUGGCCCCAGAGCACCUUAAAGUUGUUCUUGGCCUCCCACGAGCUGUAGGUUUAGGGUUUAGGUUUUAGGGCCUCCCGUGACACAUGUUUUUGUCGUCGAACAAUGAUUUCGUGCCUCCCGUCCGCCACCCAUGAUUUGACCAUUGAGACUGGUAAGGCUGUUUUGGCCUCCCGUGAGCUAUAGCACACGUUUUCAUGGCCCAGCGACCAUUUUUAUGUCCGCGUUCCGCCACACGUGUUUUUGUCCCCGGAGCACCUUAAAGCGGUUCUUGGCCUCCCGCGAGCUAUAUCACACAUUUCCGUGGCCAAACAGCCAAUUUUAUGUAUCCGACCUGCCACCUUCGUUUUAGACCGGGGAGGCCGUUAUGGCAUUUUUUUGCCACCCGUGAGCUAUAGCACACGAUUUUAUGGAAACCUAGACCCUAAAUCCUAUCCCUAAACCCUAAACCUAAACAUCGACACUAAAGGAUUUUAGUGUCGAAACCAUGGUAAAAUGAAAUUUGAGUCUCCCAACCAUAUCAACUUUGCUGACAUAGUAGAAUUUUAGUGUCCAAACCAUAGUACACAUUUUGGUCCCCGGAGGCCGGUAAGGCUAUUUUUGGCCUCCCGUGACACAUGUUUUCAUCGUCAAACAACGAUUUCAUGCCUCCCGUCCCCACCCAUGAUUUGGCCACUGAGACUGCUAAGGCUGUUUAUGGCCUCACGUAAGCUAUAGCACACGUUUUCAUGGUCGAGCGACCAUUUUUAAGUAAGUGUUCCACCACCCGCGUUUUGGUCCCCAGAGCACCUUAAAGUUGUUCUUGGCCUCCCACGAGCUGUAGGGUUUAGGGUUUAGGUUUAGGGCCUCCCGUGACACAUGUUUUUGUCGUCGAACAGCGAUUUCGUGCCUCCCGUCCGCCACCCAUGAUUUGACCAUUGAGACUGGUAAGGCUGUUUUGGCCUCCCGUGAGCUAUAGCACACGUUUUCAUGGCCCAGCGACCAUUUUUAUGUCCGCGUUCCGCCACACGUGUUUUUGUCCCCGGAGCACCUUAAAGCGGUUCUUGGCCUCCCGCGAGCUAUAUCACACAUUUCCGUGGCCAAACAACCAAUUUUAUGUAUCCGACCUGCCACCUUCGUUUUAGACGGGGAGGCCGUUAUGGCAUUUUUUUGCCACCCGUGAGCUAUAGCACACGAUUUUAUGGAAACCUAGACCCUAAAUCCUAUCCCUAAACCCUAAACCUAAACAUCGACACUAAAGGAUUUUAGUGUCGAAACCAUGGUAAAAUGAAAUUUGAGUCUCCCAACCAUAUCAACUUUGCUGACAUAGUAGAAUUUUAGUGUCCAAACCAUAGUACACAUUUUGGUCCCCGGAGGCCGGUAAGGCUAUUUUUGGCCUCCCGUGACACAUGUUUUCAUCGUCAAACAACGAUUUCAUGCCUCCCGUCCACCACCCAUGAUUUGGCCACUGAGACUGCUAAGGCUGUUUAUGGCCUCACGUAAGCUAUAGCACACGUUUUCAUGGUCGAGCGACCAUUUUUAAGUAAGUGUUCCACCACCCGCGUUUUGGUCCCCAGAGCACCUUAAAGUUGUUCUUGGCCUCCCACGAGCUGUAGGGUUUAGGGUUUAGGUUUUAGGGCCUCCCGUGACACAUGUUUUUGUCGUCGAACAGCGAUUUCGUGCCUCCCGUCCGCCACCCAUGAUUUGACCAUUGAGACUGGUAAGGCUGUUUUGGCCUCCCGUGAGCUAUAGCACACGUUUUCAUGGCCCAGCGACCAUUUUUAUGUCCGCGUUCCGCCACACGUGUUUUUGUCCCCGGAGCACCUUAAAGCGGUUCUUGGCCUCCCGCGAGCUAUAUCACACAUUUCCGUGGCCAAACAACCAAUUUUAUGUAUCCGACCUGCCACCUUCGUUUUAGACCGGGGAGGCCGUUAUGGCAUUUUUUUGCCACCCGUGAGCUAUAGCACACGAUUUUAUGGAAACCUAGACCCUAAAUCCUAUCCCUAAACCCUAAACCUAAACAUCGACACUAAAGGAUUUUAGUGUCGAAACCAUGGUAAAAUGAAAUUUGAGUCUCCCAACCAUAUCAACUUUGCUGACAUAGUAGAAUUUUAGUGUCCAAACCAUAGUACACAUUUUGGUCCCCGGAGGCCGGUAAGGCUAUUUUUGGCCUCCCGUGACACAUGUUUUCAUCGUCAAACAACGAUUUCAUGCCUCCCGUCCGCCACCCAUGAUUUGGCCACUGAGACUGCUAAGGCUGUUUAUGGCCUCACGUAAGCUAUAGCACACGUUUUCAUGGUCGAGCGACCAUUUUUAAGUAAGUGUUCCACCACCCGCGUUUUGGUCCCCAGAGCACCUUAAAGUUGUUCUUGGCCUCCCACGAGCUGUAGGGUUUAGGGUUUAGGUUUUAGGGCCUCCCGUGACACAUGUUUUUGUCGUCGAACAGCGAUUUCGUGCCUCCCGUCCGCCACCCAUGAUUUGACCAUUGAGACUGGUAAGGCUGUUUUGGCCUCCCGUGAGCUAUAGCACACGUUUUCAUGGCCCAGCGACCAUUUUUAUGUCCGCGUUCCGCCACACGUGUUUUUGUCCCCGGAGCACCUUAAAGCGGUUCUUGGCCUCCCGCGAGCUAUAUCACACAUUUCCGUGGCCAAACACCAAUUUUAUGUAUCCGACCUGCCACCUUCGUUUUAGACCGGGGAGGCCGUUAUGGCAUUUUUUUGCCACCCGUGAGCUAUAGCACACGAUUUUAUGGAAACCUAGACCCUAAAUCCUAUCCCUAAACCCUAAACCUAAACAUCGACACUAAAGGAUUUUAGUGUCGAAACCAUGGUAAAAUGAAAUUUGAGUCUCCCAACCAUAUCAACUUUGCUGACAUAGUAGAAUUUUAGUGUCCAAACCAUAGUACACAUUUUGGUCCCCGGAGGCCGGUAAGGCUAUUUUUGGCCUCCCGUGACACAUGUUUUCAUCGUCAAACAACGAUUUCAUGCCUCCCGUCCACCACCCAUGAUUUGGCCACUGAGACUGCUAAGGCUGUUUAUGGCCUCACGUAAGCUAUAGCACACGUUUUCAUGGUCGAGCGACCAUUUUUAAGUAAGUGUUCCACCACCCGCGUUUUGGUCCCCAGAGCACCUUAAAGUUGUUCUUGGCCUCCCACGAGCUGUAGGGUUUAGGGUUUAGGUUUUAGGGCCUCCCGUGACACAUGUUUUUGUCGUCGAACAGCGAUUUCGUGCCUCCCGUCCGCCACCCAUGAUUUGACCAUUGAGACUGGUAAGGCUGUUUUGGCCUCCCGUGAGCUAUAGCACACGUUUUCAUGGCCCAGCGACCAUUUUUAUGUCCGCGUUCCGCCACACGUGUUUUUGUCCCCGGAGCACCUUAAAGCGGUUCUUGGCCUCCCGCGAGCUAUAUCACACAUUUCCGUGGCCAAACAGCCAAUUUUAUGUAUCCGACCUGCCACCUUCGUUUUAGACCGGGGAGGCCGUUAUGGCAUUUUUUUGCCACCCGUGAGCUAUAGCACACGAUUUUAUGGAAACCUAGACCCUAAAUCCUAUCCCUAAACCCUAAACCUAAACAUCGACACUAAAGGAUUUUAGUGUCGAAACCAUGGUAAAAUGAAAUUUGAGUCUCCCAACCAUAUCAACUUUGCUGACAUAGUAGAAUUUUAGUGUCCAAACCAUAGUACACAUUUUGGUCCCCGGAGGCCGGUAAGGCUAUUUUUGGCCUCCCGUGACACAUGUUUUCAUCGUCAAACAACGAUUUCAUGCCUCCCGUCCGCCACCCAUGAUUUGGCCACUGAGACUGCUAAGGCUGUUUAUGGCCUCACGUAAGCUAUAGCACACGUUUUCAUGGUCGAGCGACCAUUUUUAAGUAAGUGUUCCACCACCCGCGUUUUGGUCCCCAGAGCACCUUAAAGUUGUUCUUGGCCUCCCACGAGCUGUAGGGUUUAGGUUUAGGUUUUAGGGCCUCCCGUGACACAUGUUUUUGUCGUCGAACAGCGAUUUCGUGCCUCCCGUCCGCCACCCAUGAUUUGACCAUUGAGACUGGUAAGGCUGUUUUGGCCUCCCGUGAGCUAUAGCACACGUUUUCAUGGCCCAGCGACCAUUUUUAUGUCCGCGUUCCGCCACACGUGUUUUUGUCCCCGGAGCACCUUAAAGCGGUUCUUGGCCUCCCGCGAGCUAUAUCACACAUUUCCGUGGCCAAACAGCCAAUUUUAUGUAUCCGACCUGCCACCUUCGUUUUAGACCGGGGAGGCCGUUAUGGCAUUUUUUUGCCACCCGUGAGCUAUAGCACACGAUUUUAUGGAAACCUAGACCCUAAAUCCUAUCCCUAAACCCUAAACCUAAACAUCGACACUAAAGGAUUUUAGUGUCGAAACCAUGGUAAAAUGAAAUUUGAGUCUCCCAACCAUAUCAACUUUGCUGACAUAGUAGAAUUUUAGUGUCCAAACCAUAGUACACAUUUUGGUCCCCGGAGGCCGGUAAGGCUAUUUUUGGCCUCCCGUGACACAUGUUUUCAUCGUCAAACAACGAUUUCAUGCCUCCCGUCCGCCACCCAUGAUUUGGCCACUGAGACUGCUAAGGCUGUUUAUGGCCUCACGUAAGCUAUAGCACACGUUUUCAUGGUCGAGCGACCAUUUUUAAGUAAGUGUUCCACCACCCGCGUUUUGGUCCCCAGAGCACCUUAAAGUUGUUCUUGGCCUCCCACGAGCUGUAGGGUUUAGGGUUUAGGUUUUAGGGCCUCCCGUGACACAUGUUUUUGUCGUCGAACAGCGAUUUCGUGCCUCCCGUCCGCCACCCAUGAUUUGACCAUUGAGACUGGUAAGGCUGUUUUGGCCUCCCGUGAGCUAUAGCACACGUUUUCAUGGCCCAGCGACCAUUUUUAUGUCCGCGUUCCGCCACACGUGUUUUUGUCCCCGGAGCACCUUAAAGCGGUUCUUGGCCUCCCGCGAGCUAUAUCACACAUUUCCGUGGCCAAACAGCCAAUUUUAUGUAUCCGACCUGCCACCUUCGUUUUAGACCGGGGAGGCCGUUAUGGCAUUUUUUUGCCACCCGUGAGCUAUAGCACACGAUUUUAUGGAAACCUAGACCCUAAAUCCUAUCCCUAAACCCUAAACCUAAACAUCGACACUAAAGGAUUUUAGUGUCGAAACCAUGGUAAAAUGAAAUUUGAGUCUCCCAACCAUAUCAACUUUGCUGACAUAGUAGAAUUUUAGUGUCCAAACCAUAGUACACAUUUUGGUCCCCGGAGGCCGGUAAGGCUAUUUUUGGCCUCCCGUGACACAUGUUUUCAUCGUCAAACAACGAUUUCAUGCCUCCCGUCCGCCACCCAUGAUUUGGCCACUGAGACUGCUAAGGCUGUUUAUGGCCUCCCGUAAGCUAUAGCACACGUUUUCAUGGUCGAGCGACCAUUUUUAAGUACGUGUUCCACCACCCGCGUUUUGGUCCCCAGAGCACCUUAAAGUUGUUCUUGGCCUCCCACGAGCUGUAGGGUUUAGGGUUUAGGUUUUAGGGCCUCCCGUGACACAUGUUUUUGUCGUCGAACAGCGAUUUCGUGCCUCCCGUCCGCCACCCAUGAUUUGACCAUUGAGACUGGUAAGGCUGUUUUGGCCUCCCGUGAGCUAUAGCACACGUUUUCAUGGCCCAGCGACCAUUUUUAUGUCCGCGUUCCGCCACACGUGUUUUUGUCCCCGGAGCACCUUAAAGCGGUUCUUGGCCUCCCGCGAGCUAUAUCACACAUUUCCGUGGCCAAACAGCCAAUUUUAUGUAUCCGACCUGCCACCUUCGUUUUAGACCGGGGAGGCCGUUAUGGCAUUUUUUUGCCACCCGUGAGCUAUAGCACACGAUUUUAUGGAAACCUAGACCCUAAAUCCUAUCCCUAAACCCUAAACCUAAACAUCGACACUAAAGGAUUUUAGUGUCGAAACCAUGGUAAAAUGAAAUUUGAGUCUCCCAACCAUAUCAACUUUGCUGACAUAGUAGAAUUUUAGUGUCCAAACCAUAGUACACAUUUUGGUCCCGGAGGCCGGUAAGGCUAUUUUUGGCCUCCCGUGACACAUGUUUUCAUCGUCAAACAACGAUUUCAUGCCUCCCGUCCGCCACCCAUGAUUUGGCCACUGAGACUGCUAAGGCUGUUUAUGGCCUCCCGUAAGCUAUAGCACACGUUUUCAUGGUCGAGCGACCAUUUUUAAGUACGUGUUCCACCACCCGCGUUUUGGUCCCCAGAGCACCUUAAAGUUGUUCUUGGCCUCCCACGAGCUGUAGGGUUUAGGAGGUUUAGGUUUUAGGGGCCUCCCGUGACACAUGUUUUUGUCGUCGAACAGCGAUUUCGUGCCUCCCGUCCGCCACCCAUGAUUUGACCAUUGAGACUGGUAAGGCUGUUUUGGCCUCCCGUGAGCUAUAGCACACGUUUUCAUGGCCCAGCGACCAUUUUUAUGUCCGCGUUCCGCCACACGUGUUUUUGUCCCCGGAGCACCUUAAAGCGGUUCUUGGCCUCCCGCGAGCUAUAUCACACAUUUCCGUGGCCAAACAGCCAAUUUUAUGUAUCCGACCUGCCACCUUCGUUUUAGACCGGGGAGGCCGUUAUGGCAUUUUUUUGCCACCCGUGAGCUAUAGCACACGAUUUUAUGGAAACCUAGACCCUAAAUCCUAUCCCUAAACCCUAAACCUAAACAUCGACACUAAAGGAUUUUAGUGUCGAAACCAUGGUAAAAUGAAAUUUGAGUCUCCCAACCAUAUCAACUUUGCUGACAUAGUAGAAUUUUAGUGUCCAAACCAUAGUACACAUUUUGGUCCCCGGAGGCCGGUAAGGCUAUUUUUGGCCUCCCGUGACACAUGUUUUCAUCGUCAAACAACGAUUUCAUGCCUCCCGUCCCCACCCAUGAUUUGGCCACUGAGACUGCUAAGGCUGUUUAUGGCCUCACGUAAGCUAUAGCACACGUUUUCAUGGUCGAGCGACCAUUUUUAAGUAAGUGUUCCACCACCCGCGUUUUGGUCCCCAGAGCACCUUAAAGUUGUUCUUGGCCUCCCACGAGCUGUAGGGUUUAGGGUUUAGGUUUUAGGGCCUCCCGUGACACAUGUUUUUGUCGUCGAACAGCGAUUUCGUGCCUCCCGUCCGCCACCCAUGAUUUGACCAUUGAGACUGGUAAGGCUGUUUUGGCCUCCCGUGAGCUAUAGCACACGUUUUCAUGGCCCAGCGACCAUUUUUAUGUCCGCGUUCCGCCACACGUGUUUUUGUCCCCGGAGCACCUUAAAGCGGUUCUUGGCCUCCCGCGAGCUAUAUCACACAUUUCCGUGGCCAAACAACCAAUUUUAUGUAUCCGACCUGCCACCUUCGUUUUAGACGGGGAGGCCGUUAUGGCAUUUUUUUGCCACCCGUGAGCUAUAGCACACGAUUUUAUGGAAACCUAGACCCUAAAUCCUAUCCCUAAACCCUAAACCUAAACAUCGACACUAAAGGAUUUUAGUGUCGAAACCAUGGUAAAAUGAAAUUUGAGUCUCCCAACCAUAUCAACUUUGCUGACAUAGUAGAAUUUUAGUGUCCAAACCAUAGUACACAUUUUGGUCCCCGGAGGCCGGUAAGGCUAUUUUUGGCCUCCCGUGACACAUGUUUUCAUCGUCAAACAACGAUUUCAUGCCUCCCGUCCGCCACCCAUGAUUUGGCCACUGAGACUGCUAAGGCUGUUUAUGGCCUCACGUAAGCUAUAGCACACGUUUUCAUGGUCGAGCGACCAUUUUUAAGUAAGUGUUCCACCACCCGCGUUUUGGUCCCCAGAGCACCUUAAAGUUGUUCUUGGCCUCCCACGAGCUGUAGGGUUUAGGGUUUAGGUUUUAGGGCCUCCCGUGACACAUGUUUUUGUCGUCGAACAGCGAUUUCGUGCCUCCCGUCCGCCACCCAUGAUUUGACCAUUGAGACUGGUAAGGCUGUUUUGGCCUCCCGUGAGCUAUAGCACACGUUUUCAUGGCCCAGCGACCAUUUUUAUGUCCGCGUUCCGCCACACGUGUUUUUGUCCCCGGAGCACCUUAAAGCGGUUCUUGGCCUCCCGCGAGCUAUAUCACACAUUUCCGUGGCCAAACAGCCAAUUUUAUGUAUCCGACCUGCCACCUUCGUUUUAGACCGGGGAGGCCGUUAUGGCAUUUUUUUGCCACCCGUGAGCUAUAGCACACGAUUUUAUGGAAACCUAGACCCUAAAUCCUAUCCCUAAACCCUAAACCUAAACAUCGACACUAAAGGAUUUUAGUGUCGAAACCAUGGUAAAAUGAAAUUUGAGUCUCCCAACCAUAUCAACUUUGCUGACAUAGUAGAAUUUUAGUGUCCAAACCAUAGUACACAUUUUGGUCCCCGGAGGCCGGUAAGGCUAUUUUUGGCCUCCCGUGACACAUGUUUUCAUCGUCAAACAACGAUUUCAUGCCUCCCGUCCGCCACCCAUGAUUUGGCCACUGAGACUGCUAAGGCUGUUUAUGGCCUCACGUAAGCUAUAGCACACGUUUUCAUGGUCGAGCGACCAUUUUUAAGUAAGUGUUCCACCACCCGCGUUUUGGUCCCCAGAGCACCUUAAAGUUGUUCUUGGCCUCCCACGAGCUGUAGGGUUUAGGGUUUAGGUUUUAGGGCCUCCCGUGACACAUGUUUUUGUCGUCGAACAGCGAUUUCGUGCCUCCCGUCCGCCACCCAUGAUUUGACCAUUGAGACUGGUAAGGCUGUUUUGGCCUCCCGUGAGCUAUAGCACACGUUUUCAUGGCCCAGCGACCAUUUUUAUGUCCGCGUUCCGCCACACGUGUUUUUGUCCCCGGAGCACCUUAAAGCGGUUCUUGGCCUCCCGCGAGCUAUAUCACACAUUUCCGUGGCCAAACAGCCAAUUUUAUGUAUCCGACCUGCCACCUUCGUUUUAGACCGGGGAGGCCGUUAUGGCAUUUUUUUGCCACCCGUGAGCUAUAGCACACGAUUUUAUGGAAACCUAGACCCUAAAUCCUAUCCCUAAACCCUAAACCUAAACAUCGACACUAAAGGAUUUUAGUGUCGAAACCAUGGUAAAAUGAAAUUUGAGUCUCCCAACCAUAUCAACUUUGCUGACAUAGUAGAAUUUUAGUGUCCAAACCAUAGUACACAUUUUGGUCCCCGGAGGCCGGUAAGGCUAUUUUUGGCCUCCCGUGACACAUGUUUUCAUCGUCAAACAACGAUUUCAUGCCUCCCGUCCGCCACCCAUGAUUUGGCCACUGAGACUGCUAAGGCUGUUUAUGGCCUCACGUAAGCUAUAGCACACGUUUUCAUGGUCGAGCGACCAUUUUUAAGUAAGUGUUCCACCACCCGCGUUUUGGUCCCCAGAGCACCUUAAAGUUGUUCUUGGCCUCCCACGAGCUGUAGGGUUUAGGGUUUAGGUUUUAGGGCCUCCCGUGACACAUGUUUUUGUCGUCGAACAGCGAUUUCGUGCCUCCCGUCCGCCACCCAUGAUUUGACCAUUGAGACUGGUAAGGCUGUUUUGGCCUCCCGUGAGCUAUAGCACACGUUUUCAUGGCCCAGCGACCAUUUUUAUGUCCGCGUUCCGCCACACGUGUUUUUGUCCCCGGAGCACCUUAAAGCGGUUCUUGGCCUCCCGCGAGCUAUAUCACACAUUUCCGUGGCCAAACAGCCAAUUUUAUGUAUCCGACCUGCCACCUUCGUUUUAGACCGGGGAGGCCGUUAUGGCAUUUUUUUGCCACCCGUGAGCUAUAGCACACGAUUUUAUGGAAACCUAGACCCUAAAUCCUAUCCCUAAACCCUAAACCUAAACAUCGACACUAAAGGAUUUUAGUGUCGAAACCAUGGUAAAAUGAAAUUUGAGUCUCCCAACCAUAUCAACUUUGCUGACAUAGUAGAAUUUUAGUGUCCAAACCAUAGUACACAUUUUGGUCCCCGGAGGCCGGUAAGGCUAUUUUUGGCCUCCCGUGACACAUGUUUUCAUCGUCAAACAACGAUUUCAUGCCUCCCGUCCCCACCCAUGAUUUGGCCACUGAGACUGCUAAGGCUGUUUAUGGCCUCACGUAAGCUAUAGCACACGUUUUCAUGGUCGAGCGACCAUUUUUAAGUAAGUGUUCCACCACCCGCGUUUUGGUCCCCAGAGCACCUUAAAGUUGUUCUUGGCCUCCCACGAGCUGUAGGGUUUAGGGUUUAGGUUUUAGGGCCUCCCGUGACACAUGUUUUUGUCGUCGAACAGCGAUUUCGUGCCUCCCGUCCGCCACCCAUGAUUUGACCAUUGAGACUGGUAAGGCUGUUUUGGCCUCCCGUGAGCUAUAGCACACGUUUUCAUGGCCCAGCGACCAUUUUUAUGUCCGCGUUCCGCCACACGUGUUUUUGUCCCCGGAGCACCUUAAAGCGGUUCUUGGCCUCCCGCGAGCUAUAUCACACAUUUCCGUGGCCAAACAGCCAAUUUUAUGUAUCCGACCUGCCACCUUCGUUUUAGACCGGGGAGGCCGUUAUGGCAUUUUUUUGCCACCCGUGAGCUAUAGCACACGAUUUUAUGGAAACCUAGACCCUAAAUCCUAUCCCUAAACCCUAAACCUAAACAUCGACACUAAAGGAUUUUAGUGUCGAAACCAUGGUAAAAUGAAAUUUGAGUCUCCCAACCAUAUCAACUUUGCUGACAUAGUAGAAUUUUAGUGUCCAAACCAUAGUACACAUUUUGGUCCCCGGAGGCCGGUAAGGCUAUUUUUGGCCUCCCGUGACACAUGUUUUCAUCGUCAAACAACGAUUUCAUGCCUCCCGUCCGCCACCCAUGAUUUGGCCACUGAGACUGCUAAGGCUGUUUAUGGCCUCCGUAAGCUAUAGCACACGUUUUCAUGGUCGAGCGACCAUUUUUAAGUAAGUGUUCCACCACCCGCGUUUUGGUCCCCAGAGCACCUUAAAGUUGUUCUUGGCCUCCCACGAGCUGUAGGGUUUAGGGUUUAGGUUUUAGGGCCUCCCGUGACACAUGUUUUUGUCGUCGAACAGCGAUUUCGUGCCUCCCGUCCGCCACCCAUGAUUUGACCAUUGAGACUGGUAAGGCUGUUUUGGCCUCCCGUGAGCUAUAGCACACGUUUUCAUGGCCCAGCGACCAUUUUUAUGUCCGCGUUCCGCCACACGUGUUUUUGUCCCCGGAGCACCUUAAAGCGGUUCUUGGCCUCCCGCGAGCUAUAUCACACAUUUCCGUGGCCAAACAACCAAUUUUAUGUAUCCGACCUGCCACCUUCGUUUUAGACCGGGGAGGCCGUUAUGGCAUUUUUUUGCCACCCGUGAGCUAUAGCACACGAUUUUAUGGAAACCUAGACCCUAAAUCCUAUCCCUAAACCCUAAACCUAAACAUCGACACUAAAGGAUUUUAGUGUCGAAACCAUGGUAAAAUGAAAUUUGAGUCUCCCAACCAUAUCAACUUUGCUGACAUAGUAGAAUUUUAGUGUCCAAACCAUAGUACACAUUUUGGUCCCGGAGGCCGGUAAGGCUAUUUUUGGCCUCCCGUGACACAUGUUUUCAUCGUCAAACAACGAUUUCAUGCCUCCCGUCCCCACCCAUGAUUUGGCCACUGAGACUGCUAAGGCUGUUUAUGGCCUCACGUAAGCUAUAGCACACGUUUUCAUGGUCGAGCGACCAUUUUUAAGUAAGUGUUCCACCACCCGCGUUUUGGUCCCCAGAGCACCUUAAAGUUGUUCUUGGCCUCCCACGAGCUGUAGGGUUUAGGGUUUAGGUUUUAGGGCCUCCCGUGACACAUGUUUUUGUCGUCGAACAGCGAUUUCGUGCCUCCCGUCCGCCACCCAUGAUUUGACCAUUGAGACUGGUAAGGCUGUUUUGGCCUCCCGUGAGCUAUAGCACACGUUUUCAUGGCCCAGCGACCAUUUUUAUGUCCGCGUUCCGCCACACGUGUUUUUGUCCCCGGAGCACCUUAAAGCGGUUCUUGGCCUCCCGCGAGCUAUAUCACACAUUUCCGUGGCCAAACAGCCAAUUUUAUGUAUCCGACCUGCCACCUUCGUUUUAGACCGGGGAGGCCGUUAUGGCAUUUUUUUGCCACCCGUGAGCUAUAGCACACGAUUUUAUGGAAACCUAGACCCUAAAUCCUAUCCCUAAACCCUAAACCUAAACAUCGACACUAAAGGAUUUUAGUGUCGAAACCAUGGUAAAAUGAAAUUUGAGUCUCCCAACCAUAUCAACUUUGCUGACAUAGUAGAAUUUUAGUGUCCAAACCAUAGUACACAUUUUGGUCCCCGGAGGCCGGUAAGGCUAUUUUUGGCCUCCCGUGACACAUGUUUUCAUCGUCAAACAACGAUUUCAUGCCUCCCGUCCGCCACCCAUGAUUUGGCCACUGAGACUGCUAAGGCUGUUUAUGGCCUCCGUAAGCUAUAGCACACGUUUUCAUGGUCGAGCGACCAUUUUUAAGUAAGUGUUCCACCACCCGCGUUUUGGUCCCCAGAGCACCUUAAAGUUGUUCUUGGCCUCCCACGAGCUGUAGGGUUUAGGGUUUAGGUUUUAGGGCCUCCCGUGACACAUGUUUUUGUCGUCGAACAGCGAUUUCGUGCCUCCCGUCCGCCACCCAUGAUUUGACCAUUGAGACUGGUAAGGCUGUUUUGGCCUCCCGUGAGCUAUAGCACACGUUUUCAUGGCCCAGCGACCAUUUUUAUGUCCGCGUUCCGCCACACGUGUUUUUGUCCCCGGAGCACCUUAAAGCGGUUCUUGGCCUCCCGCGAGCUAUAUCACACAUUUCCGUGGCCAAACAGCCAAUUUUAUGUAUCCGACCUGCCACCUUCGUUUUAGACCGGGGAGGCCGUUAUGGCAUUUUUUUGCCACCCGUGAGCUAUAGCACACGAUUUUAUGGAAACCUAGACCCUAAAUCCUAUCCCUAAACCCUAAACCUAAACAUCGACACUAAAGGAUUUUAGUGUCGAAACCAUGGUAAAAUGAAAUUUGAGUCUCCCAACCAUAUCAACUUUGCUGACAUAGUAGAAUUUUAGUGUCCAAACCAUAGUACACAUUUUGGUCCCCGGAGGCCGGUAAGGCUAUUUUUGGCCUCCCGUGACACAUGUUUUCAUCGUCAAACAACGAUUUCAUGCCUCCCGUCCCCACCCAUGAUUUGGCCACUGAGACUGCUAAGGCUGUUUAUGGCCUCACGUAAGCUAUAGCACACGUUUUCAUGGUCGAGCGACCAUUUUUAAGUAAGUGUUCCACCACCCGCGUUUUGGUCCCCAGAGCACCUUAAAGUUGUUCUUGGCCUCCCACGAGCUGUAGGGUUUAGGGUUUAGGUUUUAGGGCCUCCCGUGACACAUGUUUUUGUCGUCGAACAGCGAUUUCGUGCCUCCCGUCCGCCACCCAUGAUUUGACCAUUGAGACUGGUAAGGCUGUUUUGGCCUCCCGUGAGCUAUAGCACACGUUUUCAUGGCCCAGCGACCAUUUUUAUGUCCGCGUUCCGCCACACGUGUUUUUGUCCCCGGAGCACCUUAAAGCGGUUCUUGGCCUCCCGCGAGCUAUAUCACACAUUUCCGUGGCCAAACAGCCAAUUUUAUGUAUCCGACCUGCCACCUUCGUUUUAGACCGGGGAGGCCGUUAUGGCAUUUUUUUGCCACCCGUGAGCUAUAGCACACGAUUUUAUGGAAACCUAGACCCUAAAUCCUAUCCCUAAACCCUAAACCUAAACAUCGACACUAAAGGAUUUUAGUGUCGAAACCAUGGUAAAAUGAAAUUUGAGUCUCCCAACCAUAUCAACUUUGCUGACAUAGUAGAAUUUUAGUGUCCAAACCAUAGUACACAUUUUGGUCCCCGGAGGCCGGUAAGGCUAUUUUUGGCCUCCCGUGACACAUGUUUUCAUCGUCAAACAACGAUUUCAUGCCUCCCGUCCGCCACCCAUGAUUUGGCCACUGAGACUGCUAAGGCUGUUUAUGGCCUCCCAUAAGCUAUAGCACACGUUUUCAUGGUCGAGCGACUAUUUUUAAGUACGUGUUCCACCACCCGCGUUUUGGUCCCCAGAGCACCUUAAAGUUGUUCUUGGCCUCCCACGAGCUGUAGGGUUUAGGGUUUAGGUUUUAGGGCCUCCCGUGACACAUGUUUUUGUCGUCGAACAGCGAUUUCGUGCCUCCCGUCCGCCACCCAUGAUUUGACCAUUGAGACUGGUAAGGCUGUUUUGGCCUCCCGUGAGCUAUAGCACACGUUUUCAUGGCCCAGCGACCAUUUUUAUGUCCGCGUUCCGCCACACGUGUUUUUGUCCCCGGAGCACCUUAAAGCGGUUCUUGGCCUCCCGCGAGCUAUAUCACACAUUUCGUGGCCAAACAGCCAAUUUUAUGUAUCCGACCUGCCACCUUCGUUUUAGACCGGGGAGGCCGUUAUGGCAUUUUUUUGCCACCCGUGAGCUAUAGCACACGAUUUUAUGGAAACCUAGACCCUAAAUCCUAUCCCUAAACCCUAAACCUAAACAUCGACACUAAAGGAUUUUAGUGUCGAAACCAUGGUAAAAUGAAAUUUGAGUCUCCCAACCAUAUCAACUUUGCUGACAUAGUAGAAUUUUAGUGUCCAAACCAUAGUACACAUUUUGGUCCCGGAGGCCGGUAAGGCUAUUUUUGGCCUCCCGUGACACAUGUUUUCAUCGUCAAACAACGAUUUCAUGCCUCCCGUCCGCCACCCAUGAUUUGGCCACUGAGACUGCAAGGCUGUUUAUGGCCUCCCGUAAGCUAUAGCACACGUUUUCAUGGUCGAGCGACCAUUUUUAUGUACGUGUUCCACCACCCGCGUUUUGGUCCCCAGAGCACCUUAAAGUUGUUCUUGGCCUCCCACGAGCUGUAGCACACGUUUCGUGCAAAGCCAAUUUCUGUAUCCGACUGCCACCUACGUUUAACCGGAGAGGCCGUUACGACAUUUUUGCCACAAGUGAGCUAUAGCACACGUUUUAUGGUAACCUAGACCCGAAUCCAAUCCCUAAACCUUAAACACGAACUAAAAGGUUUAGUGUCCAACCAUAGUAAAAUGAAGUUUGAGUCUCCAAACAUAGUAAGCUUGCAGCAUGGUAGAAUUUAGUGUCCAAAAAAGUACACUUAGGCGUAAGGCUAUUUUGGCCUCCCGUGACACAUGUUUUUGUCGUCGAACAGCGAUUUCGUGCCUCCCGUCCGCCACCCAUGAUUUGACCAUUGAGACUGGUAAGGCUGUUUUGGCCUCCCGUGAGCUAUAGCACACGUUUUCAUGGCCCAGCGACCAUUUUUAUGUCCGCGUUCCGCCACACGUGUUUUUGUCCCCGGAGCACCUUAAAGCGGUUCUUGGCCUCCCGCGAGCUAUAUCACACAUUUCCGUGGCCAAACAGCCAAUUUUAUGUAUCCGACCUGCCACCUUCGUUUUAGACCGGGGAGGCCGUUAUGGCAUUUUUUUGCCACCCGUGAGCUAUAGCACACGAUUUUAUGGAAACCUAGACCCUAAAUCCUAUCCCUAAACCCUAAACCUAAACAUCGACACUAAAGGAUUUUAGUGUCGAAACCAUGGUAAAAUGAAAUUUGAGUCUCCCAACCAUAUCAACUUUGCUGACAUAGUAGAAUUUUAGUGUCCAAACCAUAGUACACAUUUUGGUCCCCGGAGGCCGGUAAGGCUAUUUUUGGCCUCCCGUGACACAUGUUUUCAUCGUCAAACAACGAUUUCAUGCCUCCCGUCCCCACCCAUGAUUUGGCCACUGAGACUGCUAAGGCUGUUUAUGGCCUCACGUAAGCUAUAGCACACGUUUUCAUGGUCGAGCGACCAUUUUUAAGUAAGUGUUCCACCACCCGCGUUUUGGUCCCCAGAGCACCUUAAAGUUGUUCUUGGCCUCCCACGAGCUGUAGGGUUUAGGGUUUAGGUUUUAGGGCCUCCCGUGACACAUGUUUUUGUCGUCGAACAGCGAUUUCGUGCCUCCCGUCCGCCACCCAUGAUUUGACCAUUGAGACUGGUAAGGCUGUUUUGGCCUCCCGUGAGCUAUAGCACACGUUUUCAUGGCCCAGCGACCAUUUUUAUGUCCGCGUUCCGCCACACGUGUUUUUGUCCCCGGAGCACCUUAAAGCGGUUCUUGGCCUCCCGCGAGCUAUAUCACACAUUUCCGUGGCCAAACAGCCAAUUUUAUGUAUCCGACCUGCCACCUUCGUUUUAGACGGGGAGGCCGUUAUGGCAUUUUUUUGCCACCCGUGAGCUAUAGCACACGAUUUUAUGGAAACCUAGACCCUAAAUCCUAUCCCUAAACCCUAAACCUAAACAUCGACACUAAAGGAUUUUAGUGUCGAAACCAUGGUAAAAUGAAAUUUGAGUCUCCCAACCAUAUCAACUUUGCUGACAUAGUAGAAUUUUAGUGUCCAAACCAUAGUACACAUUUUGGUCCCCGGAGGCCGGUAAGGCUAUUUUUGGCCUCCCGUGACACAUGUUUUCAUCGUCAAACAACGAUUUCAUGCCUCCCGUCCGCCACCCAUGAUUUGGCCACUGAGACUGCUAAGGCUGUUUAUGGCCUCCCGUAAGCUAUAGCACACGUUUUCAUGGUCGAGCGACCAUUUUUAAGUAGUGUUCCACCACCCGCGUUUUGGUCCCCAGAGCACCUUAAAGUUGUUCUUGGCCUCCCACGAGCUGUAGGGUUUAGGGUUUAGGUUUUAGGGCCUCCCGUGACACAUGUUUUUGUCGUCGAACAGCGAUUUCGUGCCUCCCGUCCGCCACCCAUGAUUUGACCAUUGAGACUGGUAAGGCUGUUUUGGCCUCCCGUGAGCUAUAGCACACGUUUUCAUGGCCCAGCGACCAUUUUUAUGUCCGCGUUCCGCCACACGUGUUUUUGUCCCCGGAGCACCUUAAAGCGGUUCUUGGCCUCCCGCGAGCUAUAUCACACAUUUCCGUGGCCAAACAGCCAAUUUUAUGUAUCCGACCUGCCACCUUCGUUUUAGACCGGGGAGGCCGUUAUGGCAUUUUUUUGCCACCCGUGAGCUAUAGCACACGAUUUUAUGGAAACCUAGACCCUAAAUCCUAUCCCUAAACCCUAAACCUAAACAUCGACACUAAAGGAUUUUAGUGUCGAAACCAUGGUAAAAUGAAAUUUGAGUCUCCCAACCAUAUCAACUUUGCUGACAUAGUAGAAUUUUAGUGUCCAAACCAUAGUACACAUUUUGGUCCCGGAGGCCGGUAAGGCUAUUUUUGGCCUCCCGUGACACAUGUUUUCAUCGUCAAACAACGAUUUCAUGCCUCCCGUCCGCCACCCAUGAUUUGGCCACUGAGACUGCUAAGGCUGUUUAUGGCCUCCGUAAGCUAUAGCACACGUUUUCAUGGUCGAGCGACCAUUUUUAAGUAAGUGUUCCACCACCCGCGUUUUGGUCCCCAGAGCACCUUAAAGUUGUUCUUGGCCUCCCACGAGCUGUAGGGUUUAGGGUUUAGGUUUUAGGGCCUCCCGUGACACAUGUUUUUGUCGUCGAACAGCGAUUUCGUGCCUCCCGUCCGCCACCCAUGAUUUGACCAUUGAGACUGGUAAGGCUGUUUUGGCCUCCCGUGAGCUAUAGCACACGUUUUCAUGGCCCAGCGACCAUUUUUAUGUCCGCGUUCCGCCACACGUGUUUUUGUCCCCGGAGCACCUUAAAGCGGUUCUUGGCCUCCCGCGAGCUAUAUCACACAUUUCCGUGGCCAAACAGCCAAUUUUAUGUAUCCGACCUGCCACCUUCGUUUUAGACCGGGGAGGCCGUUAUGGCAUUUUUUUGCCACCCGUGAGCUAUAGCACACGAUUUUAUGGAAACCUAGACCCUAAAUCCUAUCCCUAAACCCUAAACCUAAACAUCGACACUAAAGGAUUUUAGUGUCGAAACCAUGGUAAAAUGAAAUUUGAGUCUCCCAACCAUAUCAACUUUGCUGACAUAGUAGAAUUUUAGUGUCCAAACCAUAGUACACAUUUUGGUCCCCGGAGGCCGGUAAGGCUAUUUUUGGCCUCCCGUGACACAUGUUUUCAUCGUCAAACAACGAUUUCAUGCCUCCCGUCCGCCACCCAUGAUUUGGCCACUGAGACUGCUAAGGCUGUUUAUGGCCUCCCGUAAGCUAUAGCACACGUUUUCAUGGUCGAGCGACCAUUUUUAAGUACGUGUUCCACCACCCGCGUUUUGGUCCCCAGAGCACCUUAAAGUUGUUCUUGGCCUCCCACGAGCUGUAGGGUUUAGGGUUUAGGUUUUAGGGCCUCCCGUGACACAUGUUUUUGUCGUCGAACAGCGAUUUCGUGCCUCCCGUCCGCCACCCAUGAUUUGACCAUUGAGACUGGUAAGGCUGUUUUGGCCUCCCGUGAGCUAUAGCACACGUUUUCAUGGCCCAGCGACCAUUUUUAUGUCCGCGUUCCGCCACACGUGUUUUUGUCCCCGGAGCACCUUAAAGCGGUUCUUGGCCUCCCGCGAGCUAUAUCACACAUUUCCGUGGCCAAACAGCCAAUUUUAUGUAUCCGACCUGCCACCUUCGUUUUAGACCGGGGAGGCCGUUAUGGCAUUUUUUUGCCACCCGUGAGCUAUAGCACACGAUUUUAUGGAAACCUAGACCCUAAAUCCUAUCCCUAAACCCUAAACCUAAACAUCGACACUAAAGGAUUUUAGUGUCGAAACCAUGGUAAAAUGAAAUUUGAGUCUCCCAACCAUAUCAACUUUGCUGACAUAGUAGAAUUUUAGUGUCCAAACCAUAGUACACAUUUUGGUCCCGGAGGCCGGUAAGGCUAUUUUUGGCCUCCCGUGACACAUGUUUUCAUCGUCAAACAACGAUUUCAUGCCUCCCGUCCGCCACCCAUGAUUUGGCCACUGAGACUGCUAAGGCUGUUUAUGGCCUCCGUAAGCUAUAGCACACGUUUUCAUGGUCGAGCGACCAUUUUUAAGUAGUGUUCCACCACCCGCGUUUUGGUCCCCAGAGCACCUUAAAGUUGUUCUUGGCCUCCCACGAGCUGUAGGGUUUAGGGUUUAGGUUUUAGGGCCUCCCGUGACACAUGUUUUUGUCGUCGAACAGCGAUUUCGUGCCUCCCGUCCGCCACCCAUGAUUUGACCAUUGAGACUGGUAAGGCUGUUUUGGCCUCCCGUGAGCUAUAGCACACGUUUUCAUGGCCCAGCGACCAUUUUUAUGUCCGCGUUCCGCCACACGUGUUUUUGUCCCCGGAGCACCUUAAAGCGGUUCUUGGCCUCCCGCGAGCUAUAUCACACAUUUCCGUGGCCAAACAGCCAAUUUUAUGUAUCCGACCUGCCACCUUCGUUUUAGACCGGGGAGGCCGUUAUGGCAUUUUUUUGCCACCCGUGAGCUAUAGCACACGAUUUUAUGGAAACCUAGACCCUAAAUCCUAUCCCUAAACCCUAAACCUAAACAUCGACACUAAAGGAUUUUAGUGUCGAAACCAUGGUAAAAUGAAAUUUGAGUCUCCCAACCAUAUCAACUUUGCUGACAUAGUAGAAUUUUAGUGUCCAAACCAUAGUACACAUUUUGGUCCCCGGAGGCCGGUAAGGCUAUUUUUGGCCUCCCGUGACACAUGUUUUCAUCGUCAAACAACGAUUUCAUGCCUCCCGUCCACCACCCAUGAUUUGGCCACUGAGACUGCUAAGGCUGUUUAUGGCCUCACGUAAGCUAUAGCACACGUUUUCAUGGUCGAGCGACCAUUUUUAAGUAAGUGUUCCACCACCCGCGUUUUGGUCCCCAGAGCACCUUAAAGUUGUUCUUGGCCUCCCACGAGCUGUAGGGUUUAGGGUUUAGGUUUUAGGGCCUCCCGUGACACAUGUUUUUGUCGUCGAACAGCGAUUUCGUGCCUCCCGUCCGCCACCCAUGAUUUGACCAUUGAGACUGGUAAGGCUGUUUUGGCCUCCCGUGAGCUAUAGCACACGUUUUCAUGGCCCAGCGACCAUUUUUAUGUCCGCGUUCCGCCACACGUGUUUUUGUCCCCGGAGCACCUUAAAGCGGUUCUUGGCCUCCCGCGAGCUAUAUCACACAUUUCCGUGGCCAAACAACCAAUUUUAUGUAUCCGACCUGCCACCUUCGUUUUAGACCGGGGAGGCCGUUAUGGCAUUUUUUUGCCACCCGUGAGCUAUAGCACACGAUUUUAUGGAAACCUAGACCCUAAAUCCUAUCCCUAAACCCUAAACCUAAACAUCGACACUAAAGGAUUUUAGUGUCGAAACCAUGGUAAAAUGAAAUUUGAGUCUCCCAACCAUAUCAACUUUGCUGACAUAGUAGAAUUUUAGUGUCCAAACCAUAGUACACAUUUUGGUCCCCGGAGGCCGGUAAGGCUAUUUUUGGCCUCCCGUGACACAUGUUUUCAUCGUCAAACAACGAUUUCAUGCCUCCCGUCCCCACCCAUGAUUUGGCCACUGAGACUGCUAAGGCUGUUUAUGGCCUCCGUAAGCUAUAGCACACGUUUUCAUGGUCGAGCGACCAUUUUUAAGUACGUGUUCCACCACCCGCGUUUUGGUCCCCAGAGCACCUUAAAGUUGUUCUUGGCCUCCCACGAGCUGUAGGGUUUAGGGUUUAGGUUUUAGGGCCUCCCGUGACACAUGUUUUUGUCGUCGAACAGCGAUUUCGUGCCUCCCGUCCGCCACCCAUGAUUUGACCAUUGAGACUGGUAAGGCUGUUUUGGCCUCCCGUGAGCUAUAGCACACGUUUUCAUGGCCCAGCGACCAUUUUUAUGUCCGCGUUCCGCCACACGUGUUUUUGUCCCCGGAGCACCUUAAAGCGGUUCUUGGCCUCCCGCGAGCUAUAUCACACAUUUCCGUGGCCAAACAGCCAAUUUUAUGUAUCCGACCUGCCACCUUCGUUUUAGACCGGGGAGGCCGUUAUGGCAUUUUUUUGCCACCCGUGAGCUAUAGCACACGAUUUUAUGGAAACCUAGACCCUAAAUCCUAUCCCUAAACCCUAAACCUAAACAUCGACACUAAAGGAUUUUAGUGUCGAAACCAUGGUAAAAUGAAAUUUGAGUCUCCCAACCAUAUCAACUUUGCUGACAUAGUAGAAUUUUAGUGUCCAAACCAUAGUACACAUUUUGGUCCCCGGAGGCCGGUAAGGCUAUUUUUGGCCUCCCGUGACACAUGUUUUCAUCGUCAAACAACGAUUUCAUGCCUCCCGUCCACCACCCAUGAUUUGGCCACUGAGACUGCUAAGGCUGUUUAUGGCCUCACGUAAGCUAUAGCACACGUUUUCAUGGUCGAGCGACCAUUUUUAAGUAAGUGUUCCACCACCCGCGUUUUGGUCCCCAGAGCACCUUAAAGUUGUUCUUGGCCUCCCACGAGCUGUAGGGUUUAGGGUUUAGGUUUUAGGGCCUCCCGUGACACAUGUUUUUGUCGUCGAACAGCGAUUUCGUGCCUCCCGUCCGCCACCCAUGAUUUGACCAUUGAGACUGGUAAGGCUGUUUUGGCCUCCCGUGAGCUAUAGCACACGUUUUCAUGGCCCAGCGACCAUUUUUAUGUCCGCGUUCCGCCACACGUGUUUUUGUCCCCGGAGCACCUUAAAGCGGUUCUUGGCCUCCCGCGAGCUAUAUCACACAUUUCCGUGGCCAAACAACCAAUUUUAUGUAUCCGACCUGCCACCUUCGUUUUAGACCGGGGAGGCCGUUAUGGCAUUUUUUUGCCACCCGUGAGCUAUAGCACACGAUUUUAUGGAAACCUAGACCCUAAAUCCUAUCCCUAAACCCUAAACCUAAACAUCGACACUAAAGGAUUUUAGUGUCGAAACCAUGGUAAAAUGAAAUUUGAGUCUCCCAACCAUAUCAACUUUGCUGACAUAGUAGAAUUUUAGUGUCCAAACCAUAGUACACAUUUUGGUCCCCGGAGGCCGGUAAGGCUAUUUUUGGCCUCCCGUGACACAUGUUUUCAUCGUCAAACAACGAUUUCAUGCCUCCCGUCCACCACCCAUGAUUUGGCCACUGAGACUGCUAAGGCUGUUUAUGGCCUCACGUAAGCUAUAGCACACGUUUUCAUGGUCGAGCGACCAUUUUUAAGUAAGUGUUCCACCACCCGCGUUUUGGUCCCCAGAGCACCUUAAAGUUGUUCUUGGCCUCCCACGAGCUGUAGGGUUUAGGGUUUAGGUUUUAGGGCCUCCCGUGACACAUGUUUUUGUCGUCGAACAGCGAUUUCGUGCCUCCCGUCCGCCACCCAUGAUUUGACCAUUGAGACUGGUAAGGCUGUUUUGGCCUCCCGUGAGCUAUAGCACACGUUUUCAUGGCCCAGCGACCAUUUUUAUGUCCGCGUUCCGCCACACGUGUUUUUGUCCCCGGAGCACCUUAAAGCGGUUCUUGGCCUCCCGCGAGCUAUAUCACACAUUUCCGUGGCCAAACAGCCAAUUUUAUGUAUCCGACCUGCCACCUUCGUUUUAGACCGGGGAGGCCGUUAUGGCAUUUUUUUGCCACCCGUGAGCUAUAGCACACGAUUUUAUGGAAACCUAGACCCUAAAUCCUAUCCCUAAACCCUAAACCUAAACAUCGACACUAAAGGAUUUUAGUGUCGAAACCAUGGUAAAAUGAAAUUUGAGUCUCCCAACCAUAUCAACUUUGCUGACAUAGUAGAAUUUUAGUGUCCAAACCAUAGUACACAUUUUGGUCCCCGGAGGCCGGUAAGGCUAUUUUUGGCCUCCCGUGACACAUGUUUUCAUCGUCAAACAACGAUUUCAUGCCUCCCGUCCGCCACCCAUGAUUUGGCCACUGAGACUGCUAAGGCUGUUUAUGGCCUCCGUAAGCUAUAGCACACGUUUUCAUGGUCGAGCGACCAUUUUUAAGUAGUGUUCCACCACCCGCGUUUUGGUCCCCAGAGCACCUUAAAGUUGUUCUUGGCCUCCCACGAGCUGUAGGGUUUAGGGUUUAGGUUUUAGGGCCUCCCGUGACACAUGUUUUUGUCGUCGAACAGCGAUUUCGUGCCUCCCGUCCGCCACCCAUGAUUUGACCAUUGAGACUGGUAAGGCUGUUUUGGCCUCCCGUGAGCUAUAGCACACGUUUUCAUGGCCCAGCGACCAUUUUUAUGUCCGCGUUCCGCCACACGUGUUUUUGUCCCCGGAGCACCUUAAAGCGGUUCUUGGCCUCCCGCGAGCUAUAUCACACAUUUCCGUGGCCAAACAGCCAAUUUUAUGUAUCCGACCUGCCACCUUCGUUUUAGACCGGGGAGGCCGUUAUGGCAUUUUUUUGCCACCCGUGAGCUAUAGCACACGAUUUUAUGGAAACCUAGACCCUAAAUCCUAUCCCUAAACCCUAAACCUAAACAUCGACACUAAAGGAUUUUAGUGUCGAAACCAUGGUAAAAUGAAAUUUGAGUCUCCCAACCAUAUCAACUUUGCUGACAUAGUAGAAUUUUAGUGUCCAAACCAUAGUACACAUUUUGGUCCCCGGAGGCCGGUAAGGCUAUUUUUGGCCUCCCGUGACACAUGUUUUCAUCGUCAAACAACGAUUUCAUGCCUCCCGUCCGCCACCCAUGAUUUGGCCACUGAGACUGCUAAGGCUGUUUAUGGCCUCACGUAAGCUAUAGCACACGUUUUCAUGGUCGAGCGACCAUUUUUAAGUAAGUGUUCCACCACCCGCGUUUUGGUCCCCAGAGCACCUUAAAGUUGUUCUUGGCCUCCCACGAGCUGUAGGGUUUAGGGUUUAGGUUUUAGGGCCUCCCGUGACACAUGUUUUUGUCGUCGAACAGCGAUUUCGUGCCUCCCGUCCGCCACCCAUGAUUUGACCAUUGAGACUGGUAAGGCUGUUUUGGCCUCCCGUGAGCUAUAGCACACGUUUUCAUGGCCCAGCGACCAUUUUUAUGUCCGCGUUCCGCCACACGUGUUUUUGUCCCCGGAGCACCUUAAAGCGGUUCUUGGCCUCCCGCGAGCUAUAUCACACAUUUCCGUGGCCAAACAGCCAAUUUUAUGUAUCCGACCUGCCACCUUCGUUUUAGACGGGGAGGCCGUUAUGGCAUUUUUUUGCCACCCGUGAGCUAUAGCACACGAUUUUAUGGAAACCUAGACCCUAAAUCCUAUCCCUAAACCCUAAACCUAAACAUCGACACUAAAGGAUUUUAGUGUCGAAACCAUGGUAAAAUGAAAUUUGAGUCUCCCAACCAUAUCAACUUUGCUGACAUAGUAGAAUUUUAGUGUCCAAACCAUAGUACACAUUUUGGUCCCCGGAGGCCGGUAAGGCUAUUUUUGGCCUCCCGUGACACAUGUUUUCAUCGUCAAACAACGAUUUCAUGCCUCCCGUCCGCCACCCAUGAUUUGGCCACUGAGACUGCUAAGGUUGUUUAUGGCCUCCCGUAAGCUAUAGCACACGUUUUCAUGGUCGAGCGACUAUUUUUAAGUACGUGUUCCACCACCCUCGUUUUGGUCCCCAGAGCACCUUAAAGUUGUUCUUGGCCUCCCACGAGCUUUAGGGUUUAGGAUUUAGGUUUUAGGGCCUCCCGUGACACAUGUUUUUGUCGUCGAACAGCGAUUUCGUGCCUCCCGUCCGCCACCCAUGAUUUGACCAUUGAGACUGGUAAGGCUGUUUUGGCCUCCCGUGAGCUAUAGCACACGUUUUCAUGGCCCAGCGACCAUUUUUAUGUCCGCGUUCCGCCACACGUGUUUUUGUCCCCAGAGCACCUUAAAGCGGUUCUUGGCCUCCCGCGAGCUAUAUCACACAUUUUCGUGGCCAAACAGCCAAUUUUAUGUAUCCGACCUGCCACCUUCGUUUUAGACCGGGGAGGCCGUUAUGGCAUUUUUUUGCCACCCGUGAGCUAUAGCACACGAUUUUAUGGAAACCUAGACCCUAAAUCCUAUCCCUAAACCCUAAACCUAAACAUCGACACUAAAGGAUUUUAGUGUCGAAACCAUGGUAAAAUGAAAUUUGAGUCUCCCAACCAUAUCAACUUUGCUGACAUAGUAGAAUUUUAGUGUCCAAACCAUAGUACACAUUUUGGUCGCCGGAGGCCGGUAAGGCUAUUUUUGGCCUCCCGUGACACAUGUUUUCAUCGUCAAACAACGAUUUCAUGCCUCCCGUCCGCCACCCAUGAUUUGGCCACUGAGACUGCAAAGGCUGUUUAUGGCCUCCCGUAAGCUAUAGCACACGUUUUCAUGGUCGAGCGACCAUUUUUAUGUACGUGUUCCACCACCCGCGUUUUGGUCCCCAGAGCACCUUAAAGUUGUUCUUGGCCUCCCACGAGCUGUAGCACACGUUUCCGUGGCCAAAGAGCCAAUUUCAUGUAUCCGACCUGCCACCUACGUUUUACACCGGAGAGGCCGUUACGACAUUUUUUGCCACAAGUGAGCUAUAGCACACGUUUUUAUGGUAACCUAGACCCCGAAUCCAAUCCCUAAACCCUAACCUUAAACACCGACACUAAAAGGUUUUAGUGUCCAAACCAUAGUAAAAUGAAGUUUGAGUCUCCAAACCAUAGUAAGCUUGCAGGCAUGGUAGAAUUUUAGUGUCCAAACCAAAGUACACGUUUUAGUCCCCUUAGGCCCGUAAGGCUAUUUUGGCCUCCCGUGACACAUGUUUUUGUCGUCGAACAGCGAUUUCGUGCCUCCCGUCCGCCACCCAUGAUUUGACCAUUGAGACUGGUAAGGCUGUUUUGGC
rnacentral:lncRNA from 1 species